AGGAAACAGGGCCAGAGAAUUGGAACAAAAUACAAGGCUGCCUCUGAAAGGAAUAUCUUUGUGCUGAUGUGUCCAUCAAGAGAACAUACACAGAAGUGACACUUGCCAGUAAUUUGCAAGCAGAUGGAACUUCAAUAUGGCAAUAGAGAAAGAAUCAAUUAGACCAGAGUCUCCUCAGGAAGACUUUCUAUAGGUGGACGGUCCCCUGGAGAGCCCGCUGUGUUGGAAGAUGUAGAAUAUUCAUAUAUCUGGUGAGCAUCUGCUAGAUGCCAGGGUUGGGGAGAGUCAAGUUGAAGCAAGCAUGAACCCUCAAGGACCUACCAUUUCAAGGCAAGAAAUAGAUACAAAUACAGAAAAUAUUUACUGGAUAGCUACUAGACAUAAGGAUGCAGAAAUGAAUUAGAAAAAUUCCUCGCCCUUGUUCAAAGCUAUGCUGGCUCUUAGAACAUCUGAGCCCCCACUGUUUCAUCUUUAGAGGAUCCCAGCUGCUGGGGUGUGAGGCCAGUGCUGGAGCCAGCAGUCUCUGACCCAGAAGGGACCUGAGGUGCUAAAGAAAAGGGUACAAGCUGGAAAAGGGGAAAAUGAAUCAUGCUACAGGCCAAGUGUCCAUCACUGAUUCCCAGAGAUGCCCUUUGUGUGGUAGGCACUUCCAUGUGGACUCGCUACAGAGGUCAUAAGACCCUAAUUCCAGAGGGCCCUACCCUAUAACCAGAAGGAAGAACUAUUGCACAGAGAAUCUAAGAAGAAUCUAGACAGACAGCCCUUGCUGGAUUUCUCCACUCUGUUAGCAUUCGAUCAUUUGCCUUUUGUCCAGUCAUAUUUCUGCAUGGCUGUCCAUACUUUGUUGAACCUAAGCACAAAAUGGAAAGUUUUCCCUGUAUCUUUGGGUCGUCAUUCUGAAGGCUCCCAUGUUAUGUAAAACUAUGAUCAAAUAAAUAUGCAUGCCUUUUCUCCUAUAA
rnacentral:lncRNA from 1 species